GAGGAUUUUCAGGAGCACCUAAGGAUCUGUCUGCACCCUUAAGCAUUUAGCCAGCCUUAAAUAUAGUCCCAACAAUGUCAGGAGCCUUCCUGGGAGCCAGCGUGCUCCUUGACCCAGGCUACUGCCAGCUAAUCCAGCAGGGGAAGAAUGGGGGCUCCCACCUCAGACAAUGGGGCUGGAGCUGAGAAAAUAAUCCCUCAAGAUAUUCCCCUAUCUUGGGGGAAAAAUUAUUUAAAAAAAAAAAACAAAACAAAACAAAAAACUCGAGGAAAAAGAUCCAAAACAAAACAAAACAAAAAAGAACCAAAACAAACAAAAUCCAAACAAAACAGACAAAGCAAAAAUAAAAAUCCCCCCAACCCCCCCCCCCCCCCCCCCCCCCCCCCCCCCCCCCCCCCCCCCCCCCCCCCCCCCCCCCCCCCCCCCCCCCCCCCAACAACACAAAUAAAAAAGCAGGGAAUUGUUUCCCUGCAGGUUGUUGGUGUGCCAGUUGGAAUCAGGCUGGUGUUGACACCUGGCUGAUGAGGGCUGCGCUGACACCCCGAUAAAUUCACACCUCAUUUUCCAGCUGGGAUGUGCUCCUUUUACCUGUGCAGCCACUCAAAUGAAAAUGCCGUGCCCCAAACAGCAGCUGAACAGGAAUAUUCUCUCCCAAACGCAUUCAGGCAGAGCUCUGAGCCAGGAGAGAGGGCAGACCAGCUCAGCCACAAUUAUCUUCUCCCCUGAGAAUCAUCUUCCACCUGCUUCCUUAACCCCUGAUUUAUUUAUUUAUCUAUUUAUUUCUUUUUAUCACCCCAUUCACGCAAGUCUCACGCCUUUAAAGCCACUAAUGAAAAUCUUUUGUCCUCCUUCAACCCCUGCUCGAGGAGCCUCGGCUUCCCCCUCUCCUGGGUCACCCUUAAGAGCAUCACCAGGCACGGAAGGCUCUGCUAAGCCCUGGGGCAGACAGGGCUGGGCGUGGCACUGCAGGGGCAGCUCAAGAGCAUUUAUCAUUCCUGUCUUCUCCAAGGCAGAGCUGCCCUGCAGACCUCAGGGCUGAGUUAAUUGUGUGGGGUCAGCCCUGCCAGCCCUGAGCUCUGGGAAGGUUCCUGGCCUGUGGGCAGUUCAUGGAAAGCAAGAAAAGAUAAUAACACAUCACUCAUAAGAGUGAGAG
rnacentral:lncRNA from 12 species